rnacentral:rRNA from 2 species
GCAGUCAGAGGCGAUGAAGGACGUGCUAAUCUGCGAAAAGCGUCGGUAAGGUGAUAUGAACCGUUAUAACCGGCGAUGUCCGAAUGGGGAAACCCAGUGCAAUUCGUUGCACUAUCGUUAACUGAAUACAUAGGUUAACGAGGCGAACCGGGGGAACUGAAACAUCUAAGUACCCCGAGGAAAAGAAAUCAACCGAGAUUCCCC